rnacentral:tRNA from 1 species
GUAGACAUAGUUUAACCAAAAUAUCAGAUUGUGAUUCUGAAGAUAGGGGAUAGAAACCCCUUGUCCACC